rnacentral:rRNA from 1 species
AAAGAAACCAACAGGGAUUGCCCCAGUAACGGCGAGUGAAGCGGCAAAAGCUCAAAUUUGAAAUCUGGCUCCUUCGGGGUCCGAGUUGUAAUUUGUAGAGGAUGCUUCGGGCGUGGUCGCGGUCUAAGUCCCCUGGAACGGGGCGUCGUAGAGGGUGAGAAUCCCGUCUUCGGCCGGCUGGCUUCGCCCGUGUGAAGCUCCUUCGACGAGUCGAGUUGUUUGGGAAUGCAGCUCUAAAUGGGUGGUAAAUUUCAUCUAAAGCUAAAUACUGGUCGGAGACCGAUAGCGCACAAGUAGAGUGAUCGAAAGAUGAAAAGCACUUUGAAAAGAGAGUUAAAAAGCAUGUGAAAUUGUUGAAAGGGAAGCGCUUGCGACCAGAGUCGGCCGCGGGGGCUCAGCGGGCACUCGUUGCCCGUGCACUCCCCCGGGGUCGGGUCAGCGUCAGUUUCGGCGGUCGGUCAAAGGCCCCCAGAAUGUGUCGCCCUUCGGGGCGUCUUAUAGCUGGGGGUGCAAUGCGGCCCGCCGGGACUGAGGAACGCGCUUCGGCACGGACGCUGGCUU